UACUGCUGAGAUUAACUUCCACACAUGCGUGAGCGCACAAAACACAUAAACCGUGAGUAUUUCUAGUCGAAACUUGAAAAAAAAAAAUACAAAACUUUCAACAACGGAUCUCUUGGUUCUCGCAUCGAUGAAGAGCGCAGCGAAAUGCGAUACCUAGUGUGAAUUGCAGCCAUCGUGAAUCAUCGAGUUCUUGAACGCACAUUGCGCCCGUCGGUAUUCCGGCGGGCAUGCCUGUCUGAGCGUCGUUUCCUUCUUGGAACUUUUGUUAAAGAAAGAUCCAGAGCUGGCCGUGCCACUGGCCCGGCCGAAAAGAAACGUUGCGGACGAAGCGAACUACAUCGGGACGCUUUGGCCGCCGAGCGAAAAUAUAUCAUUGAGCUCGACCUCAGAUCAGGUAGGAGUACCCGC
rnacentral:rRNA from 1 species